UGCUGUCCCCUGCUGUCGGUGAAGACUCCCAUCACCGACGCAGAUCUGAUCCGGACGCUGGCCUGUAAAGCUCUGGUGGGUCUGUCCCGCAGCGCCGCCAUCCGGCAGAUCAUCAGCAAGCUGCCGCUCUUCACCCGCAACCACAUCCAGCAGCUGAUGAAGGAGCCGGUGCUGCAGGACAAACGCCGCCAGCACGCCCAGUUCUGCCAGCUGGCGGUGGAGCUGACGGAGCGCGUGUCGGGGAGGCGGCUGCUGGCGGGCAGCGACACGUCGCUGGCUCUGCUGCAGAAGGCCAACGUGGGGCCCGCUCGCUCAUCACCUUCCCCGAGAGGGAGCUGCUGCUGCUCAUCAAGAGCACCUGGCCGCCAAGGGCCUCCACCGGGCCGCCGCCGAGCUGAGCCGCGAGGCCAACCUGCCCCCCGCCCCGCUCUGCCUCUCCCCCCUGGCCACCCCGACCGCCGCCGCCGCCGCGCCCCGCGGCUGCCGGUCGGUGGGCGGGGCCGCGGCUCGCCUCUCCGGCCACGCCGGGGCGUCGCCGCUGGCCUCCUGCUCCUCCUCCCGGUCCCUCACCGUACCGCCACUCCCCUCCACCUCCUCCACCCCCCCUCCGCCUCCUCUCACUCCUCAGGGAUCACAUCUGGCCGGACGGAUUCUGUUCCCUCAGGAACAGAAGACGCCGCCGAGCAGCUCAGGGAAGAAACUGUGUGCUCUGAAGCAGAAAUCCGACCACGGAGCGUUUAUCCAGACUCCUGCCUUGAAGAAGCAGCCGGAGCUCCACCGCCCCCCUCCCCCCACCCUGGACAGCAUCGUCACCGAGUACCUGAGAGAGCAGCACUCCCGCUG
rnacentral:lncRNA from 1 species